rnacentral:rRNA from 1 species
AGCGAACGCUGGCGGCAGGCCUAACACAUGCAAGUCGAACGAACCCUUCGGGGUUAGUGGCGGACGGGUGAGUAACACGUGGGAACGUGCCUUUAGGUUCGGAAUAACUCAGGGAAACUUGUGCUAAUACCGAAUGUGCCCUUCGGGGGAAAGAUUUAUCGCCUUUAGAGCGGCCCGCGUCUGAUUAGCUAGUUGGUGAGGUAUUGGCUCACCAAGGCUACGAUCAGUAGCUGGUCUGAGAGGAUGACCAGCCACAUUGGGACUGAGACACGGCCCAAACUCCUACGGGAGGCAGCAGUGGGGAAUCUUGCGCAAUGGGCGAAAGCCUGACGCAGCCAUGCCGCGUGGAUGAUGAAGGUCUUAGGAUUGUAAAAUCCUUUCACCGGUGAAGAUAAUGACUGUAGUCGGAGAAGAAGCCCCGGCUAACUUCGUGCCAGCAGCCGCGGUAACAC